rfam:Aedes aegypti strain Liverpool supercont1.276 genomic scaffold, whole genome shotgun sequence.
UGCCCAGCAACUCCCAUCCCUACCUCCUCGUGGUACUGGCCGGGGUACGAGUAACCUUAGGGAAGAUCGGGUAACCAACCCCCGGUGGGAACUUUGGUUGUAUGCUGACAGCGAAGG